rnacentral:rRNA from 1 species
AGUGAACGCUGGCGGUAGGCCUAACACAUGCAAGUCGAACGGCAGCACAGGAGAGCUUGCUCUCUGGGUGGCGAGGGGCGGACGGGUGAGGAAUACAUCGGAAUCUACUCUGUCGUGGGGGAUAACGUAGGGAAACUUACGCUAAUACCGCAUACGACCUACGGGUGAAAGCAGGGGACCUUCGGGCCUUGCGCGAUUGAAUGAGCCGAUGUCGGAUUAGCUAGUUGGCGGGGUAAAGGCCCACCGAGGCGACGAUCCGUAGCUGGUCUGAGAGGAUGAUCAGCCACACUGGAACUGAGACACGGUCCAGACUCCUACGGGAGGCAGCAGUGGGGAAUAUUGGACAAUGGGCGCAAGCCUGAUCCAGCCAUACCGCGUGGGUGAAGAAGGCCUUCGGGUUGUAAAGCCCUUUUGUUGGGAAAGAAAUCCAGCUGGCUAAUACCCGGUUGGGAUGACGGUACCCAAAGAAUAAGCACCGGCUAACUUCGUGCCAGCAGCCGCCGUAA